rnacentral:rRNA from 1 species
CCUACGGGCGGCAGCAGUGAGGAAUAUUGGUCAAUGGACGAGAGUCUGAACCAGCCAAGUAGCGUGAAGGAUGACUGCCCUAUGGGUUGUAAACUUCUUUUAUAUGGGAAUAAAAUGUUCCACGUGUGGGGUUUUGUAUGUACCUUAUGAAUAAGGAUCGGCUAACUCCGUGCCAGCAGCCGCGGUAAUACGGAGGAUGCGAGCGUUAUCCGGAUUUAUUGGGUUUAAAGGGAGCGUAGGCGGUUUGUUAAGUCAGUUGUGAAAGUCUGCGGCUCAACCGUAACAUUGCAGUUGAAACUGGCAGUCUUGAGUAUAGUAGAGGUGGGCGGAAUUCGUGGUGUAGCGGUGAAAUGCUUAGAUAUCACGAAGAACUCCGAUUGCGAAGGCAGUUCACUGGACUGCAACUGACACUGAGGCUCGAAAGUGUGGGUAUCAAACAGGAUUAGAUACCCGUGUAGUC